GGGCGAUCCGCUUUCUUCACCAGAACCGAAAGGAUUCUAAACAUUAGUCUUCUUGAGUAUUAUUUUCCAAUCAUCUUAGAUUUCUUGCGCACUCGGCGCAGAUGUGUCACCAUGAUGUGCUGUGAAAAAGGACCCAAACUUGAGAUAUCGAUGGAUUCGUCGACACGAGCUCAUCUCCUGAGCAGAUUAAAGAACAGCUCCAUCACAUGACGGAGGACGUGGCUCACAGACGCUCAUCGGUCUGCAGAGGAUGAUCUACGGGUCCAUUUCUCAACAUAAUGCAGCGAACAGCGAAAGGAGACACAGGCUGUAUGGCAGCUUGGACACUUCUGGACCUCCAGAGGCUGACAAAGUCCGGACAAUAACUGCACUAAUGAAGGUGAACACACAACAAUGAAGUGUCAUCCGGAGUCCUGCAAUGUUUGUGAGUACUAAAAUAAGCACCCUGAGCUGAGAGCCCAGCCAGCUGCCUUCCUGCCCUGCUCUGGCUCCCCCUAGCCGUGCCUCCAUAUUUCCUUGUUAGUGCACACCAUAAUGGCCUGACCCUCCCUGUUCAAUUACACCAAAAAGACACCAAAAUACACCUGAAAACCUCCAUUUCUCCUUCUAAAUGUGGAGUAAACCGCCUCCAUGUGCCUACCAGCCAACAUUAGAGUCCACAGGCCACAGCAGAACAGAGGAUUUCUUACCUUUUCCUCAGUGGAUCAGCCUACACCUCCCUCUCCAAAGUUCCAACUUCGACAGCCUCCUUCUUCUUCCCAGCAAUCCCUGCAAAAAGGACACUUCCAUGUAUGUUGAAAAUGUAGGGGUGAUCCAAAUGGACAAAACCAUUUUUAAAGUGUCCAGACAGCCCCCAAGAUCCAAAAAUGGCCUUUUGGGGCCCAAAUAGGUAUAAUCUCCAAUAUUCCAUUAUAAAAUGCCAUAUCAGAGGCCUUAAAUAGCAAAACCCCCUCCUCAUAUAGACUCUCUUCUACCCCUAUGAUUUCAACUUAUUCUGGUCCAUCCUCUAGUCAUACAGUUCAUACUGAAGCGCAAUUGUAAGCGAGUGCGCAACUGAACUCUGCAGACUUUCUGCUGCGUUUUAUGCGUUUGCCAAGCCCUGGAGCAUCUCUGAGAGUCUACAAAUACUCCAUUGAUGGGAUUAUAGUGUCAAAGAGACAUUUUUCUUAUGGACUCGACCAAAAAAAGUCGAAGGAAAAUAUUUUCAUGAGGGUAAAAUCCAACGGUGCCAAAAGUGAGCUGCGUAUCCAAAUGGACCUCUCCAAAAGUGCACAGGUGCAUCUAAAGGCAAAAAGAGCUCUCCAAAGGCUCCAGGAGGAAAAAAUAUAACUUUACUCAGCUUAAAUGGUAAAUAUAUUAAUAAUGUAGUUUAAAAUUUACAAAUUAUACUCGAAAAUUAAAGGCUGCACUCAAAAAAAUCUUGAAUAUAAGGUCCACUAGAGAGCAAAAUGCAACGAGAAAAGUUCCAAAUGGCGCAAUGGCACUGCAGACAUUUAAGCUGAUUAUUUAUUUAUUUAAAAAUACUAUUUGCUGAAAUGUACAUUUGUUAAUACUAACAACGCUGUCGCACAGACUGUAAAUUCCAGUUAGCAUCCAUGUGGCCAACAAUAGCUGUGAAGCGGACAAAAAGCUGAGCUGUAAACGCACCCAGUCAGUGCGCUCAGAGUCCUGCAGUCUGUUCCUUCAUCCAGGAUUAAAUAAGCGUGGAUUCAGUGGUGCAGCAGGAAAAACCAAAGCAGACAAAGCAUUGAAAUGUCGUGUUUGGAGGAACAACAGCGCCGACGGUUAAAGCUGUUUCCCCCCAAACAAACCACGAUGCAAAUGAUGCUGGCAGCCGGCGGCGCUGCGUCAACGGACGGUCCGGGUCUGAAGCCUGCUGCGGUGUUCAGGUCGCUGAUCGGACGAUCUUCUGCCUCCCUACGUGUCCAGACAUGAGCCCACAGCAGGUUCAGGACCCCACAUCCCCUCUGUGGAACACCGAGCCUCCGGCAACAGCAGCACAAGAGGAGCCCUGUGCUCCCUGCGCUCUGUAGUGGAGGAAAAAGUGCAAAUAAAAAGACGGCCGUCUGACAAAGCCUCCGUUAUUUGCUCUGAAUCAGCGCUCGGACCUCAAAAACAGGCGCAGGGAGCCUUUAUUAAAGCGCAGCGCCUGUCCUCAUUGUGCGCAUUUGCUGCUGCAGCUGUCAAGCGGCUCACGUUUCACUGAAGCCACACAGUCAUAUAGAUACAGCACACUGUAAAAAACAACUUGUUUUUACAGACAUUUAUUAUGAAUUAAUACAUUUUUGUUAUCGUACCAAGAGGAUAUUUCUGUAAAUUACAGGAAAAUAACAUUCUCUAGCAACCCAGCAAACUAAUCUUCAGGGAACAUUUAGGGAACGUUUGAUGGAGGUUCCUGUUUGCUGUGAAAUAUGCUGUAGUAGUACAGUACAAAGGUCUUUCACAGUAACCAUCAGGGAACCAUCAGGGAACGCUCACAGGAUGUUCAUGAAGGUUCCCUGAUGGAAAUCUGCAAACAUUCAGGGAACAUUCAAAGAAUAUUUCCUUAAAGUUCCUGUUGGCUGUGAAAUCUCCAAAUAUUUGAACAUUACAUUACAAGAAUUCAUCUUUUUAUAACAAAAUAGUUUGAACUGUUUAAAAUUUUGUAAAAUUUGCUUGUUACCAGUGUAAAAAGAGAGAGCAAAGGGUUGUUCUCCAACCUUAAAAAAAAAAGAUAUUUAUGAAAAGAAUGUUGGUGAAUAUACUGAAUGAUCACAUGAAGUAAAAGCUUAGAUCUGUGAAUAUACUAAGUGUAGACUUUUAUAUACGCUGCAAAAGAACUGAAAAUGUGGCGGCAAAAGCACCAGAAAGGAUGCAUUUAAAAACUGUAAACAUAACAGCAAAAUAUCUGUAGAAUAAUGGUAUAUUUUUAGUUGAUUUAAAUGCACUAAAACUGCGUGAUUUUAUGGUCACACAUUGUAAAAGAAAAAAUAUUUGUUAAAACAAAAAAAAUAAAAAAAAAUAUAUAUAUAUAUUAGCAUCUACUGCUGUAUAAGAACAAAUUUUCCAUUUGUAAAAGUAUAUAUUUUAGAUAUGAGGUACAGUUCUGGUUUGCUUUGUAAUUUUAUUUUUUUUAAAUUAACAUGUAAAUUAAUAUUUUUUUUCCAUGGGAUUUUACAAGUUAUUAUCAGUAAUUUAACAAAACCGAAACAGUCUGUGAAAUAGGAAGAAAUUGUUCAAACAAUAACAGUUAACUGUUAAAAAAUAUGUUCUUUUUUUACACUGUAGGGUUCAUUACAUGUAGUUUAUAUUACUUUUCUUUAUGUUAUGCACAGAAUUCACAGCCGUAGCAGUGAGAUCUCAGAUAAACGGCACAGGUAUAGUUCAGAUUAUGUGUAUUUAAUUUUUAACUACUAUAAAUGUGUAGGAUAAAAACAUUUAUUGCCAGAUUGCCUCCAUUGAUAAACUGUAAACAUUUAACAGACAGUAAAGUGAACGUUAAUUCAGACAAGUGUUUUUGUGUGUUUCUUAAAGAAAUCUGUAGGAUGAUAGGGAUGUAUAGUAGAUGGACUAAACACAUUGCAUGAAAUAACAUAAUAAUGUUGUUAUUCAUAAGAUGGCAAUAAUUAAAUGGUGGAAUUUAUAUGCAUUUAUACAGUAUUUCCUAGAUUUUAUUAGAUUGAAGAGGUGUUUUCUAAUUGUGAAAAUAUGUAAUUCUAUUUGAAAUUACAGAAAAAAUAUACAGGGGAAAACCUGUGAUUUUAGUUAUUUAUCACUGAGUUAUGUUUAGGAUUUUACUGGUAUUUGAUGGAAACUCUUUGGAAAUGUGCUGCCAGAUAUUUUACAGUUUUUUCACUUCUGUUUUUCUUUUACAGUGUGGAGAAACCAGACUUGUGCAAGAUCAGCUGUGUGUCUGUCUGUGGUCUGGAUGUAUCAUUUACGCUCCACGGUGACAGACACUCUCUGUUGCAAGACGUCCUUGUUUUUUGUUUUUUAAAUGUACUUUUAGCUCCGUGGGGCAGCAGGAGGAACUUUGUUGACGGACUUAAAACCACAGUAAUAUAGAUCUGAAAGCAGUGACUAAUGCACAAAACCAACACUGAAAAAUAAUGUUUGGGCUCAACAAAAUAAUGCAAUCAAUUUGUAUCAAACUUUCUGAGGUAUAUACGGAUGAAAUUAUCUUCCGCUAACAAACUAGACUGAAAUACAGGAUUUAGCUUCUCCUCAAAGCUGUUUUUAAUUCAAGCUUAUUUAAUGAUGACUGUGAAAACUGUAAAAUCUCAUUUAUCUUUCAGCUUUGGUGACCACAGUUUGUGGAUCACAUUAAUUCGAAUCUACAUGUUGUCUCUUUAAACUCAUUUUCCAGUUAGAGCUGAAGUGCAGCAAUUACACUUGCUGCUGUUUCAGUUUCAUGUUUCAUGUUUCAGCUGCAACUUAAUCAUUGUUUUCUUCCAGUGGGAUAACAGAGUAAAGAAGAAAAAUGAGCAUCUAAAUCUAAUGACAAAGUUGAACUUUUUUUUUUUUUUUUUUUUUUUU